rnacentral:rRNA from 1 species
CACGUAGGCGGAUAUUUAAGUCAGGGGUGAAAUCCCAGAGCUCAACUCUGGAACUGCCUUUGAUACUGGGUAUCUUGAGUAUGGAAGAGGUAAGUGGAAUUCCGAGUGUAGAGGUGAAAUUCGUAGAUAUUCGGAGGAACACCAGUGGCGAAGGCGGCUUACUGGUCCAUUACUGACGCUGAGGUGCGAAAGCGUGGGAGCAAACA